rnacentral:lncRNA from 1 species
GGGGGUUAAUUAAUUGGGGGGGGUUAAUUAGGGGGUGUUAAUUAAUUAGGGGGGGUUAAUUAAGAGCCCCCACCCGCCGUGAAGGUCUUGCCGGCCCCCGAGACGACGACGGCGCGACAGGCCGGGUCCUGCUCGAUCUCCCGGAAACACUCCACCAGCUCCCUGCGGGCAAACUGGGAGCACUGGGAAUACUGGGAGGGGAGUGCCUCCCCGAGCCACUGCAUCCCAGUCCCUCCCAGUCCCUCCCAGUUCAUCCCAGUCCCUCCCAGUUCAUCCCAGUGCCUCCCAGUUCGCCCAGAGGCUCCCAGUCCCUCUCAAUUCCCUCAGAGCUUACCGGUCUUUCCCAGUCCAUCCCAGUCUCUCCCAGUCCAUCCCAGUGCCUCCCAGUUCCCCCAGAGGCUCCCAGUACUUCCCAGUCCCUCCCAGUGCCUCCCAGUCCAUCCCAGUCCCUCCCAGUUCAUCCCAGUCCCUCCCAGUCCCUCCCAGUCGCUUCCCAGUCGCUUCCCAGUGUCUCCCAGUCCUUCCCAGUCCCUCCCAGUGCAUCCCAGUCCAUCCCAGUCUCUCCCAGUCCAUCCCAAUCCAUCCCAGUUCCCCCAGAGGCUACCGGUCCUUCCCAGUGCCUUCCCAGUGCAUCCCAGUCCAUCCCAGUGCAUCCCAGUCCA